GAUCCUGGCUCAGGACGAACGCUGGCGGCGUGCUUAACACAUGCAAGUCGAACGAAGAGCGAUGGAAGCUUGCUUCUAUCAAUCUUAGUGGCGAACGGGUGAGUAACGCGUAAUCAACCUGCCCUUCAGAGGGGGACGAACAGUUGGAAACGACUGCUAAUACCGCAUACGAUCUAAUCUCGGCAUCGAGGAAAGAUGAAAGGUGGCCUCUAUUUAUAAGCUAUCACUGAAGGAGGGGA
rnacentral:rRNA from 1 species